CCAGUAAACGGCGGCCGUAACUAUAACGGUCCUAAGGUAGCGAAAUUCCUUGUCGGGUAAGUUCCGACCUGCACGAAUGGCGUAAUGAUGGCCAGGCUGUCUCCACCCGAGACUCAGUGAAAUUGAACUCGCUGUGAAGAUGCAGUGUACCCGCGGCAAGACGGAAAGACCCCGUGAACCUUUACUAUAGCUUGACACUGAACAUUGAGCCUUGAUGUGUAGGAUAGGUGGGAGGCUUUGAAGUGUGGACGCCAGUCUGCAUGGAGCCAACCUUGAAAUACCACCCUUUAACGUUUGAUGUUCUAACCUAGGCCCAUAAACUGGGUCGGGGACCGUGUCUGGUGGGUAGUUUGACUGGGGCGGUCUCCUCCUAAAGAGUAACGGAGGAGCACGAAGGUUGGCUAAGCAUGGUCGGACAUCAUGCGGUUAGUGCAAAGGCAUAAGCCAGCUUGACUGCGAGAGUGACGGCUCGAGCAGGUACGAAAGUAGGUCUUAGUGAUCCGGUGGUUCUGAAUGGAAGGGCCAUCGCUCAACGGAUAAAAGGUACUCCGGGGAUAACAGGCUGAUACCGCCCAAGAGUUCAUAUCGACGGCGGUGUUUGGCACCUCGAUGUCGGCUCAUCACAUCCUGGGGCUGAAGUAGGUCCCAAGGGUAUGGCUGUUCGCCAUUUAAAGUGGUACGCGAGCUGGGUUUAGAACGUCGUGAGACAGUUCGGUCCCUAUCUGCCGUGGGCGUUGGAAGAUUGAGAGGGGUUGCUCCUAGUACGAGAGGACCGGAGUGAACGCACCACUGGUGUUCGGGUUGUCAUGCCAAUGGCAUUGCCCGGUAGCUAAGUGCGGAAGAGAUAACCGCUGAAAGCAUCUAAGCGGGAAACUUGCCUCGAGAUGAGUCUUCCCUGUCGCUUUAAGCGACCUAAAGGAACGUUUAAGACUAAGACGUUGAUAGGCUGGGUGUGUAAGCGUAGCGAUACGUUGAGCUAACCAGUACUAAUGAACCGUGAG
rnacentral:rRNA from 1 species